GGGUUGGGAGCAUUAAACCAUCAUCUCUUCACAGUGGCCAUGAUACAGUCAGUACCUCUACUCCUGCUACUGGCAGCCAUGUCCUCACCAGUGUUUGGGACUGAGAUAUCAGUACUAGAGGGAACUUCUGUUACCCUUGUCUGCAGAUACAGUGUCGAUAAAAAGCUUGAGACAUGCUGGAGCAGAUCUUGUGGAACUUUUCAGUGUACUGAUCCCAUAAUGGAAGAUCAAUCCAAAUAUAAAAUUAACGCUGAAGUUGGAACAGUGAAUCUCACCAUUUUAAAGCUACAGCCGACAGACGGUGGGAGCUAUUGCUGCAGAGUGCAUGAUCUUAAACAAUUCUACAGCCUGAGGGUAGUCAAAGGUUGUGUGAGGGAGCUACUGGACAAAGUCCAUUUUCUGGGGAACAACAUUGCGAAUCAGCCAUUUACAACCGAAAAUGCAAGUCAGUGCAGGCAGGAAUGCACCAAAAAUGACACAUGCCAGUACUUCACAUUUGUUGAUGAAAUCGCAGG